GAGUUGGCAGCAUAGGCAGUAGGGCUUCUCUCGUGAGCGGGAAGUCACCUAGACGUCAUAAUCUAGUGGCACAAGGGCCGUCCAGCCUAGAAUGUCGGGACCUCAACCAGUGGCAACUCAAUUGAGACCGGAUGUAACAUCAUGAUAGCAUCUAUGCACGAGACCCGGGGGAGAGAUAUGGGCCGUCCAGCCUAGAAUGUAGGGACCUCAACCAGUGGCAACUCAAUUGAGACCGGAUGUAACAUCAUGAUAGCAUCCAUGCACGAGACCCGGGGGAGAGAUAUGGGCCGUCCAGCCUAGAAUGUAGGGACCUCAACCAGUGGCAACUCAAUUGAGACCGGAUGUAACAUCAUGAUAGCAUCCAUGCACGAGACCCGGGGGAGAGAUAUGGGCCGUCCAGCCUAGAAUGUAGGGACCUCAACCAGUGGCAACUCAAUUGAGACCGGAUGUAACAUCAUGAUAGCAUCCAUGCACGAGACCCGGGGGAGAGAUAUCUCCUAUACCCUCGAUCCCCCAACAACGGCCAAACACUGCCAACUCCUGCCCCCCACGGCUAGGGUGACAAGCUUGUGCCACCGAGCUCGGCGGGAGCAACUCGUUCGUCUCCUCUUUUAUAUGGGUUUAAACCGCUGUAGAUUUUCCGUAUGGU
rnacentral:lncRNA from 1 species